GACGAACGCUAGCUACAGGCUUAACACAUGCAAGUCCGAGGGGUCUGCUUCGGCAGACGACCGGCGCACGGGUGAGUAACGCGUAUCCAACCUGCCCUUCUCAUUGGGAUAGCCUUUCGAAAGAGAGAUUAAUACCGAAUAACAUAGUUUGAUUGCCUGAUUAUACUAUGAAAGCUCCGGCGGAGGAAGGAUGGGGAUGCGUUCCAUUAGGUAGUAGGCGGGGUAACGGCCCACCUAGCCUACGAUGGAUAGGGGUUCUGAGAGGAAGGUCCCCCCANACUGGAACUGAGACACGGUCCAGACUCCUACGGGAGGCAGCAGUGAGGAAUAUUGGGUCAAUGGUCGGAAGACUGAACCAGCCCAAGUAGCGUGAAGGAUGAA
rnacentral:rRNA from 1 species